AGCGAACGCUGGCGGCAGGCCUAACACAUGCAAGUCGAACGAACCCUUCGGGGUUAGUGGCGGACGGGUGAGUAACACGUGGGAACGUGCCUUUAGGUUCGGAAUAACUCAGGGAAACUUGUGCUAAUACCGAAUGUGCCCUUCGGGGGAAAGAUUUAUCGCCUUUAGAGCGGCCCGCGUCUGAUUAGCUAGUUGGUGAGGUAAUGGACCACCAAGGCUACGAUCAGUAGCUGGUCUGAGAGGAUGACCAGCCACAUUGGGAAUGAGACACGGCCCAAACUCCUACGGGAGUCAGCAGUGGGGAAUCUUGCGCAAUGGGCGAAAGCCUGCCGCAGCCAUGCCGCGUUGAUGAUUAAGGUCUUAGGAUUGUAAAAUCCUUUCACCGGUGAAGAUAAUGACUGUAGCCGGAGAAGAAGCCCCGGCUAACUUCGUGCCAGCCGCCGCAGUAACAC
rnacentral:rRNA from 1 species